rnacentral:rRNA from 1 species
UAGGGAAUCUUCGGCAAUGGACGAAAGUCUGACCGAGCAACGCCGCGUGAGUGAAGAAGGUUUUCGGUUCGUAAAACUCUGUUGUUAGAGAAGAACAAGGACGUUAGUAACUGAACGUCCCCUGACGGUAUCUAACCAGAAAGCCACGGCUAACUACGUGCCAGCAGCCGCGGUAAUACGUAGGUGGCAAGCGUUGUCCGGAUUUAUUGGGCGUAAAGCGAGCGCAGGCAGUUUCUUAAGUCUGAUGUGAGAGCCCCCGGCUCAACCGGGGAGGGUCAUUGGAAACUGGGAGACUUGAGUGAAGAAGAGGAGGGUGGGAUUCAAUGUGUGGCGGGGAAAUGCGUAGGUAUAUGGAGGAACGCCAGUGGCGGAGGCGGGUCUCUGGUCUGUAACUGACGCUGAGGCUGGAAAGAGAGGGGAGCAAACAGG